UACGUAGGGCGCAAGCGUUAUCCGGAAUUAUUGGGCGUAAAGAGCUCGUAGGCGGGUUGUCGCGUCUGCCGUGAAAGUCCGGGGCUCAACUCCGGAUCUGCGGUGGGUACGGGCAGACUAGAGUGAUGUAGGGGAGACUGGAAUUCCUGGUGUAGCGGUGAAAUGCGCAGAUAUCAGGAAGAACACCCGUGGCGAAGGCGGCUCUCUGGGACGGUACUGACGCUGAGACGCGAAAGCGUGGGGAGCGAACAGG
rnacentral:rRNA from 1 species